rnacentral:lncRNA from 1 species
UCACAUUUUAUGGUAAACAGGAUGGCUGUGGUUGCUCACAAGUCAUGUGAUUUUGAUGUUCUUCCUUUCCAGGUUGACUGAGUGGUUGUGCCAAGUGGUUGAGGGACAGAAUGGGACUGCUUUGACAAUCCCUUUUGGAGGGAGAAGGACAUUUCUGGAAAAUACUACUUGUAACCAGGGAUAACUGCAGGAAGCUUUUCUAAGCUGGAGGACAGAAGAGGAGGACCCAGCACCUUGCCUAGGUGGACAAGUAAUGGCCAUGUACUGUCUGAAAGACAGAGCAGCCCACCAAAAUGCAAUGAGUGGGAAAGUGCUCCCUGGUCCCUCUAUACCAGAAGACAACAUCAGGGACUGCGUGUACUCAACAAUCGCAGUGCGGCCCUGGCACAAGUUACACACCCUCUCUAAGAAAGGAUACCGUUGGUCUGGAU